rnacentral:rRNA from 1 species
GACGAACGCUGGCGGCGUGCCUAAUACAUGCAAGUCGAACGAACUCUGGUAUUGAUUGGUGCUUGCAUCAUGAUUUACAUUUGAGUGAGUGGCGAACUGGUGAGUAACACGUGGGAAACCUGCCCAGAAGCGGGGGAUAACACCUGGAAACAGAUGCUAAUACCGCAUGACAACUUGGACCGCAUGGUCCGAGUUUGAAAGAUGGCUUCGGCUAUCACUUUUGGAUGGUCCCGCGGCGUAUUAGCUAGAUGGUGGGGUAACGGCUCACCAUGGCAAUGAUACGUAGCCGACCUGAGAGGGUAAUCGGCCACAUUGGGACUGAGACACGGCCCAAACUCCUACGGGAGGCAGCAGUAGGGAAUCUUCCACAAUGGACGAAAGUCUGAUGGAGCAACGCCGCGUGAGUGAAGAAGGGUUUCGGCUCGUAAAACUCUGUUGUUAAAGAAGAACAUAUCUGAGAGUAACUGUUCAGGUAUUGACGGUAUUUAACCAGAAAGCCACGGCUAACUACGUGCCAGCAGCCGCGGUAAUACGUAGGUGGCAAGCGUUGUCCGGAUUUAUUGGGCGUAAAGCGAGCGCAGGCGGUUUUUUAAGUCUGAUGUGAAAGCCUUCGGCUCAACCGAAGAAGUGCAUCGGAAACUGGGAAACUUGAGUGCAGAAGAGGACAGUGGAACUCCAUGUGUAGCGGUGAAAUGCGUAAAUAUAUGGAAGAACACCAGUGGCGAAGGCGGCUGUCUGGUCUGUAACUGACGCUGAGGCUCGAAAGUAUGGGUAGCAAACAGGAUUAGAUACCCUGGUAGUCCAUACCGUAAACGAUGAAUGCUAAGUGUUGGAGGGUUUCCGCCUUUCAGUGCUGCAGCUAACGCAUUAAGCAUUCCGCCUGGGGAGUACGGCCGCAAGGCUGAAACUCAAAGGAAUUGACGGGGGCCCGCACAAGCGGUGGAGCAUGUGGUUUAAUUCGAAGCUACGCGAAGAACCUUACCAGGUCUUGACAUACUAUGCAAAUCUAAGAGAUUAGACGUUCCCUUCGGGGACAUGGAUACAGGUGGUGCAUGGUUGUCGUCAGCUCGUGUCGUGAGAUGUUGGGUUAAGUCCCGCAACGAGCGCAACCCUUAUUAUCAGUUGCCAGCAUUAAGUUGGGCACUCUGGUGAGACUGCCGGUGACAAACCGGAGGAAGGUGGGGAUGACGUCAAAUCAUCAUGCCCCUUAUGACCUGGGCUACACACGUGCUACAAUGGAUGGUACAACGAGUUGCGAACUCGCGAGAGUAAGCUAAUCUCUUAAAGCCAUUCUCAGUUCGGAUUGUAGGCUGCAACUCGCCUACAUGAAGUCGGAAUCGCUAGUAAUCGCGGAUCAGCAUGCCGCGGUGAAUACGUUCCCGGGCCUUGUACACACCGCCCGUCACACCAUGAGAGUUUGUAACACCCAAAGUCGGUGGGGUAACCUUUUAGGAACCAGCCGCCUAAGGUGGGACAGAUGAUUAGGGUG